UAUUAUUAAAAAUAUAAUACUGUAGGCUACGUUUUAUCGACACAGAUGUAUUAUAUCUAUAAUACAUAAUAGCGUUUUAUUUAGGAACUUAAUUGAUAUUAGUAAGAUAAAAGAUUAGUAAGAUAUUUAGAAAAGGAAGAAGUUAACAUUAAAUGUCGAUAAAUCGAAGGUUCUUCUUUCUGGAAAAGAAGGCGGUAAAAGAGAAAAUGGGAAUGGAAAGAAAAAAAAUUGGAGCAGAUAAUACAAUAUCUUAAAUAUUUAGCAUAUAUUUUUAGUAAAAACGAGAAAAAUACAAAGCGGUUGAAAGGGUUGAUAAGGAAAGAUAAUCUGGCAUUAAGGCAAAUCUGUGGAAUUGGAGUUUAUUUGACUUAUUGGAAAUAAAUUUAUUUGACAGGGAUUAAAGGAAGCCAAAUUGAUCGGUAUCUAGGGCGAGAUAUGAUAAUUUAGAGGAAACAGAGAUAGUAUUAGGGAACUGAUAUGAUGACAAACACAGAGUAUGUAUGAUAUGGGGAAUGGGCGAUCCGAUAUAACACUUUCUAAGGCUGUACAGUGGGAUUGAAAAAUGAAGUGUAAAAAUUGAGGAGAUUUUGAGCAAUAA